UACAGAGGGUGCAAGCGUUAAUCGGAAUUACUGGGCGUAAAGCGUGCGUAGACGGUUAUGUAAGUCAGGUGUGAAAGCCCCGGGCUCAACCUGGGAAUGCCAUUUGAGACUGCAUAGCUAGGGUACGGAAGAGGGAAGCGGAAUUUCAGGUGUAGCGGUGAAAUGCGUAGAUAUCUGAAGGAACACCAGUGGCGAAAGCGGCUUCCUGGACCAGUACCGACGUUCAGGCACGAAAGCGUGGGGAGCAAACAGG
rnacentral:rRNA from 1 species